rnacentral:rRNA from 1 species
UACGUAGGGGGCAAGCGUUGUCCGGAAUCAUUGGGCGUAAAGAGCGUGUAGGCGGCCCGAUAAGUCCGCUGUGAAAGUCGGGGGCUCAACCCUCGAAUGCCGGUGGAUACUGUCGGGCUAGAGUGCGGAAGAGGCGAGUGGAAUUCCUGGUGUAGCGGUGAAAUGCGCAGAUAUCAGGAGGAACACCAAUUGCGAAGGCAGCUCGCUGGGACGUAACUGACGCUGAGACGCGAAAGCGUGGGGAGCAAACAGG